GAUGAACGCUAGCGGCAGGCCUAAUACAUGCAAGUCGAACGGUGUCUUCGGACAUAGUGGCGCACGGGUGCGUAACACGUAUGCAACCUACCUUACAUUGGGGGAUAGCCUUUCGAAAGGGAGAUUAAUACCGCAUAAGACAGUAGCUGGGCAUCCAGCAGCUGUUAAAGAUUUAUCGAUGUAAGCUGGGCAUGCGUCCAAUUAGCUAGUUGGUGAGGUAACGGCUCACCAAGGCAAUGAUUGGUAGGGGAACUGAGAGGUCAAUCCCCCACACUGGCACUGGGAUACGGGCCAGACUCCUACGGGAGGGAGCAGUAGGGAAUAUUGGGAAAUGGACGAAAGUCUGACCCAGCCAUGCCGCGUGAAGGAUGAAGGCGUUAUGCGUUGUAAACUGCUUUUAUACAGGAAGAAACGACUCUUGCGAGAGGCAUUGACGGUACUGUAUGAAUAAGCACCGGCUAACUCCGUGCCAGCAUCCGCGGUAAUAC
rnacentral:rRNA from 1 species